rnacentral:lncRNA from 1 species
CGACACGUGACUCUGUAACCAAAAUCAAGUAUGGCGGAAUCUGUCAGAAAAUGAUUAUUUCGCCAGUAGACUUCCCUAGUGGUAAAGUCAACAUAUUUAUUCUGCAUCUUUCUCCGUACAGGGCCGCCUCUUGGAGCUUCUAGUGUUUUUUUUUUUAAAGGCUGGUACAAGUGAGCGGGUGUCUCUGAUUGGAUUACCUGAACAGUAGGCUGUAAGGUGGAGGACUGUUUCCUGUUGCUGACCAGUGAAGACACUUGUGGGUGGUUGUGUUUCCUGUUGCUGAUCAGUGAAGACACUUGUGGGUGGUUGUGUUUCCUGUUGCUGACCAGUGAAGACACUUGUGGGUGGUUGUGUUUCCUGUUGCUGACCAGUGAAGACACUUGUGGGUGGUUGUGUUUCCUGUUGCUGAUCAGUGAAGAGACCUGUGGGUGAUUGUGUUUCCUGCUGAGGAGUACUGUGGCCCUGAUCUUGGUACACAUCAGACCAGCCCCCUUCCCUACACACACACUAACCCCCCCGACCCACCCACACACACUCCACCUAUCCCGUCGUCCUCCUCUCCAGGCCGUAUAUUUUACAACUUCACUGUGGAUUCUCCAAGGACCAUCCUGUUAACAAUGACAUCACACAGUCACCAAGAAGGACUCCUGGGCAAGGAGCAGCAGCUGGAUGUCCUGAAGACGUCUGCCCUCAACCACAUCCCCACAGGUAGGAGACCAACACAUUACCUGUCUGUCUUUCAUUAUGUGACUGAAUGUUGACCGUUGUCUUUAGAAUGUGUGUUUUUUAAGGUCUGUCUGUCACACAAAGCUAAGAGGAAAGCAAUCCGGCUUUCUUGGUGGAGAAACGUUAUGUGUAGUAAAACUGAUAAGAAUGCAGAAGUAAUUUCAUAAAAAAAACAUUUGCGGGGUGUGAUGUAUAGCUUCAGAUUAAACUAAAUCGUUUACAGUCAUGACUACUGGUUUCAAUUUAAUUUGCAGUAAAUACUUUAUGAAUUUAUUGUAACAAAUCAGCUUGCAAGGUUGCUAGCCAACUAGCCUGCUAAUGUUAGCACUACUAGCUUGCUAAUGUUACAUUAGCACUGGGUAAGCACUGGGUCAGUCCCUUCAAAGGGAUAGUCGGAUACACUAUACACACACACACACACACACACAGUACCAGUCAAAAGUUUGGACACACCUAUCAUUCAAGUGUUUUAUUUUAUUUGGACUAUUUUUCUACAUUUUAGAAUAAUAGUGAAAACAUCAAAACUAUGAAAUAACACAUAUGGAAUCAUGUAGUAACCAAAAAAGUGUUAAAUCAAAAUAUAUUUUAGAUUCUUCAAAGUAGCCACCCUUUGCCUUGAUGACAGCUUUUCACACUCUUGGCGUUCUCUCAACCAGCUUC